rnacentral:rRNA from 1 species
GAUGAACGCUGGCGGCGUGCCUAAUACAUGCAAGUCGAGCGAACGGAUGAGAAGCUUGCUCUUCUGACGUUAGCGGCGGACGGGUGAGUAACACGUGGAUAACCUACCUAUAAGACUGGGAUAACUUCGGGAAACCGGAGCUAAUACCGGAUAAUAUUUUGAACCGCAUGGUUCAAUAGUGAAAGACGGUCUUGCUGUCACUUAUAGAUGGAUCCGCGCUGCAUUAGCUAGUUGGUAAGGUAACGGCUUACCAAGGCAACGAUGCAUAGCCGACCUGAGAGGGUGAUCGGCCACACUGGAACUGAGACACGGUCCAGACUCCUACGGGAGGCAGCAGUAGGGAAUCUUCCGCAAUGGGCGAAAGCCUGACGGAGCAACGCCGCGUGAGUGAUGAAGGUCUUCGGAUCGUAAAACUCUGUUAUUAGGGAAGAACAUAUGUGUAAGUAACUGUGCACAUCUUGACGGUACCUAAUCAGAAAGCCACGGCUAACUACGUG